UGAUUGUGUGUAUCUGUGUGUGUAUUACCUAUAGGUAUGUAUAUUAGAAAUUCACAAGUCUAAGUCAAAACAUCUAGAAUGUUUCAUUGGAUGUAAAAAAAUUCCUUGCAGCAAGAUCAGUUUUUGCAAUAAACGAAAUAAUCCCAACCCUUUAAGUAGGUGACCAUAGUUAACAUUCACAUUUCCUUACACUUUGCAAGUGGUGAAUGAGAGGUCUGAUUAAACAUGAUACAAAAAGAGCUUGCAAGUAGCACUGUUUACUAACAUUUCAAUUUCUAUGCCUCAUUUAUUAGACUUAGAAUAAAAAGGUUAGAGGGGUGUUUGGGAUUGUCUUUAACCUUGAUGAUAUUUCCACUGAAGCAGCAUAAUGGCUCUUAAUUGCUUAAGUGAAGAGAACAUGUUGACAUGUCCUUCUUUGUGCUUAAAGCUCUGUGCCUAAACCAUUAUGCUAAUUCAAGCAUUAUAUACACCAAAGUAUUUAUGGGACUGACACAAGUGAUGUUGCAGGUAAAGGGCUGUGAAAUGGUCUGUAAACAGAGAGAAUUGAUUCCAGGCCCAAAGCAAUGCUGUUAAAGUCACAGACAUUGAACAGCCAGCCCUACAAUUUCUAUCCAGAUUGUCAAACUGGGUCAGACAGUGUCAGCAGGGCUGCCAUUAUAGAUCAGAUGGGUGGUUUAAUAAUAUGUAAACCAACCACAUAAAUGGAAAUUAACGUGGAAGCAUUGAGUACCUGAUAUUGGCCUUCUUUCUUUCUUUCUUUUUUGCACAGCCGUUUUGGUUACAGAAUUCUGAGUUGCAACAUUUGCUAAAACAUUUAGGUGUAAAAAAGUAAAUCAGCAUUAUGGAUUGCAAUUGUAUUUCCCUAAGUCAAGAGAGCAGCACUGCAGCCUGACAAGAUCACAGAAGAAUAUGUGUAUCAUUUAAAUCUUUGUGCAAUUAUAUAAAAUUAAAAAAUCCAUAGAUUUGACCCACUAGUCCUUCAGUAUAUUUAGUUUUAUACAUUAUCUGCCUUUUAAAACUAGGGAGUGAGGUUAAUACAUAAAAGAGCACUGUUACUUUUAAAAUAAAACAGUUUUCAAAUAUCUUCGUACAUGAUUUACUAAUAACCACAGACUCUCAAAACUGAAAGAAUUUUAAAAGUCUAAUUUACUUCUCAUCCUUUUAUGCCAUUUAUUUACUUUUUGUAUUUCACUCACGUAAAUCAAUGAAAUUAGAAACUUUUUUUUCUACUUAUUUUCACUCUAGGUUCUGAUGUACUAGCCCAAUUCUUUUGUGUUUCGCUUUAAACUGAUACAGAGAAGUGAUUCAGCAAGAGGGAUAUUUUUGAUUAAAUGGACCUUGUUGAACAAGAAAAAUCUGGACAAGUUGCUGCCUGUUUCUUCAACCUCCUCCUUCACAACAUGAUGCUGUUUCUCUGAGCAGAGUACACUGCAAGGUGAUCGUUCACUUCCUGUCCCACCCCACACCAGGAAAUGAAGAGGUCUACAAAAAUGGAGAAAUAAAACAACAAAAUUGAACCAGACUCUUUAAAAACUUCAUACAGUGAUUGGUUGAGAUUUCUUGGUGGCGGAGGGUUAUGGAAUCAAGACAAGGGUGGAAGACCUGGGAGAUAUCUGCUAUGCACAGACAAUUACAAUGGGCUCAAAACCCCAGAACAUUUACCUUUUCCAACUGAAUGACUCUAUAAAAUGGACACCUGCCAUGUUCCUAGCAUGAAUCAUUGUACUUAGAGGCACACACAAGUGGAGAGCAGUCACGGCUAGUUGGCCGCUGAUGUAUCAGAUACAAUGUCUGUACAGGGUUCAGUGCCUGAG